UAGGGAAUCUUCCGCAAUGGGCGAAAGCCUGACGGAGCAACGCCGCGUGAGUGAUGAAGGUCUUCGGAUCGUAAAACUCUGUUAUUAGGGAAGAACAAAUGUGUAAGUAACUAUGCACGUCUUGACGGUACCUAAUCAGAAAGCCACGGCUAACUACGUGCCAGCAGCCGCGGUAAUACGUAGGUGGCAAGCGUUAUCCGGAAUUAUUGGGCGUAAAGCGCGCGUAGGCGGUUUUUUAAGUCUGAUGUGAAAGCCCACGGCUCAACCGUGGAGGGUCAUUGGAAACUGGAAAACUUGAGUGCAGAAGAGGAAAGUGGAAUUCCAUGUGUGGCGGUGAAAUGCGCAGGGAUAUGGAGGAACACCAGUGGCGAAGGCGACUUUCUGAUCUGUAACUGACGCUGAUGUGCGAAAGCGUGGGGAUCAAACAGG
rnacentral:rRNA from 1 species